ACGGGGGUGGCGAGCGUUGUCCGGAAUCACUAGGCGUAAAGGGCCAGUAGGCGGAUCGCUAAGUCGGAUGUCAAAGACGUCGGCUCAACCGGCGGGAGGCGUUCGAUACUAGUGGUCUAGAGUAAUGUAGAGGAAGACGGAAUUCCUGGUGUAGCGGUGUAAUGCGCAGAUAUCAGGAAGAACACCAGUGGCGAAGGCGGUCUACUGGGCCAUUCCUGACGCUAAAUGGCGAAGGUGAGGGUAUCAAAAAG
rnacentral:rRNA from 1 species